AGAGAGAGAGAGCACAAGCAGGGAGAGUGGAAGAGGAGGAAACAGGCUCCCUGCUAAGCAAGGAGCCCGAUGUGGGACCCCAUCCCAGGACUCCGAGAUUGUGACCUGAGCAGUCACAACCCACUGAGCCACCCAGGUGCCCCAAGAACUGUCUGAAUUUAAAGGGCCUCAUCUUAAUUGCAAACUGUGGGUGUCCUGUUACUUGGUUUCUCCUGUAUUCCUCAAGGCGGCUCUGAAAUCCGAAAUCCACACCCAUCUCUUAUGAUCCAUAGCUCAGCUCCUGGCAUCUCCAGUGGUUUCUUUCUCUCCAUUUUAACAUCUGCUUCCCUCUGCAACAUCUGCCCCUCUUCUCCCCUCAAUGAUCUCCGGAUAGACUUCUUCCUUCUCUCUAAAUAUUUCUUUCCUCAUUUCCGUUCCUGUUACAAACCUCCAAAGACACCAGCUAAUCUCAUUUGAUGUCUAAGAGUUCCUCCUAUGAAGGCAAAUGAAAGCUUAAGUUGUAAAAUAAACUUUAAAAUAAUAAACAGUUCUGUCAUCCAAUAAUGACAUCAAAGGUGCCCAGAAGUCCCCUUCCACGAUCCCCAGAAAUCUUUAUUUACCUCCUGAUCUGCCUUUAAUUAAACCGGCUUUUCCCUAAGUAUUGGCAAAACACACACACACACACACACACACACGUCUCACUCCAUUUCCUCACCUCUGGGUUUCAGCGCAUAAUGGGCAGGGCAGCUGCACCACGGCCUCCCAUCCACACGCAGUCCAGGGACAGGCCAGAGGGAGAGGCUGCAGUGCCCUGGCCAAGGAACGCGACCAGGUUUGGUCACUCCAGGCCCAUGGGGGCCCUGGGUCUGGGACAGAUCAGCGCACACCCAGAGGCUGAGGUAGUCCUCAAGGAGCUAGGACUGCUGCUCUGUCCCAGCCAAAGUGACCAGAAGGGAAAUGGGAAGGGGCGGGGUAAUGUGGAGGAGCCUGGCUGCAGGGAGACUGGGCUGGGUCCGGAAUGCGGAGGCUUGACAAAGGCCAGGACCAAUUACAUGCUGCAGUCAACCAUGGCAACAGGUGGAACAUGCCAGGCGCAGGCUCUGGCAAGCCAAGCUGAGGCUCCGUUUGAGAAAACUCCAUCAGUAACGAUCCUCCUCGAUGACAUUCUGAGCAGGCAGAGAAUGCAUAUGGCCGAGUUCUAAGAGAUGAUGCCAGAAGCAGGAUCAGAUAAUACAGAGACGAACUCAUAAACCCAACUACGUCGUCUGGGCCUCUAAAGCCGUAUGUAUGCAUCCCAAACAUUCUGAUGCUGACAGAAGAGAAGUAGCCCUCCCAGAAGACAGCUUUCUCUAAGACUGUGUCUGACUCCAAAUGUGUACCCUAAAAAUGAUUUGUUACUGUGAAAAUACUUUCUUAAAAUAAAAUCCACUGAUCCCCAUAAAAAGAAUUUGUUUCAGAUAGGGUAAAGCUCAAUCACAAAAGACACUGGUAAGGCUUCCAGAAGGCCAUGCCAAUGGCUCGCAGACAUCAAGCACAUGGCUUCUCAACAACGUUGAAGAGGGGUAUCAAUCGAGUUCAUGUGACCAUAACUAUUUCUUCUCUACACAUCCAAGAAUGUCUUCCAGAAAAGACAAAUUCAUUAUAAAUUUAAAAAUCAUUUGGGGGAUGCCUCGGGUGGCUCUGUCAGUUCAGCAUCUGCCUUCGGCUCAGGUCAUGAUCUCAGGAUCCUGGGUUCAAGCCCCACACCAGGCUCUCUGCUCAGCGGGGAGUCUGCUUCUCCCUCUGCCCCUUCCUCACACUGGUGUGUACUCUCUCUUUCUCAAAUAAGUAAAUAAAAUCUUUGAAAAAAUAAAAAUAAAAAUCAUCUGGGA
rnacentral:lncRNA from 1 species